UGUAUUGACAGUGUUUGGGCAGAGGUGGGUCAGCUCCACUGUGUCUCCAUUUAACAGCUCGAUAAGAGCCUCAUCUCGCCAAAGAGAAACCUCAACUGCUGUUGAUUUGCAGUUUAACUUGAAGUCCAGGACGGGCACUUUACCGAACUGCACCUGCGCCAUCCUCACCUCCUGCAACUACAAAUCACAUACCAGAGGAGACUGACAUGCCCUUCUUCCGAAGGCUUCACUUUGUCCACUGAGACCAGAGGGGAAUGUGGAACGAGGAUCUCUUUGGCUCUUCUUUCCUGGUCUUCAGUCAGGCUCAGUGGGGCGGUUUUAAAUUUGCUGGUGGCUAAUUUCACAAAAAUGCUUGGCUUUCCAUACUUGCUUGAUAUGGUAUGGUUUUUCACCCCAUAGCUGACCCCUCCUUCGAAUUCCGGGGUCUCACCUAUGGUGUACCAAAUGAAAAAU